GAAACUCAGGGAAUGUACUAUAAAGACUCCAUUAUCAACGCUAGCUCUACCUCCAUGAUCCUGCCCAUUUUCUACCCAUAGAAUGUGGCGAUCCUCAUCAGGUACUACCAAAAAUUGGAAGGGAUGGGUUAAAUCAUGACCUGGCCAGAGAGCCAAGUUACAGGAACAGAGACCUGCACAGCACCAGAGCGACUGCCAGACAGGAGAGAAAGGCUACGCCACAUCUAGCCACAAAGUGAUGAUCUAACCAAAUACUCAAGUCUGAAGCUUUGUACAUCCACAAGACAUGACUGCUGCAUUGAACUGUUAAGGCUAACUAAAUGGUACUACGGGCUGUUGCAUCCAACUAAGGAAAAGAAAGGACAAAGUUUACACACAGGGCUUGUAAAAUCCGCUUGCUAGUGCGCACUAGGAAGACUUUCCUAGAUAAACUAGGAUCUAAGUUACCCAUUACUACAGAAUUUCAGCGCUCAGUGUAAAAAUAAUAGUAAGAUCCUACCCUUAUAGUUGUGAAUAAAACCUAGCAAAUGUAAAUUGAGGCAGUCCCUUCUUCCU